rnacentral:rRNA from 1 species
GAUGAACGCUGGCGGCAUGCCUAACACAUGCAAGUCGAUCGGUAAGGCUCUUCGGAGUACACGAGAGGCGGACGGCUGAGUAACGCGUAGGAACACACCCUGCAGUGAGGGAUAAGACACCGAAAGGUGUUCUAAUACCGCAUACGGUCUUCGGAUUAAAGCAUUUAUGCGCUGAAGGAGUGGCCUGCGUCAUAUUAGAUAGUUGGUGAGGUAAUGGCUCACCAAGUCGAUGAUGUGUAGCUGGUCUGAGAGGAUGAUCAGCCAGACUGGAACUGAGACACGGUCCAGACUCCUACGGGAAGCAGCAGUGAGGAAUAUUUCACAAUGAGCGAAAGCUUGAUGGAGCAAUGCCGCGUGCAGGAUGAAGGCCCUCGGGUUGUAAACUGCUUUUAUAAGAGAAGAUUAUGACGGUAACUUAUGAAUAAGGGACGGCUAACUACGUG